AAGCAUUCUACGGAUUCCGUGAUUAGAGAAAUAUUUGCGGAGCGUCAUUUUUCUUGAAAGCUAAUUUAGUAAAUAAGAACUUGAUCGUAACAUCUAAAACCGGAAAAAAACUUAUCAAACUUUCAAGAACUGGAAAGAUCGUCGUCGUACAAGAGUAGAGUUUGACGCUAAAAAAAUUAAGGUGGUUUUGGAUUCUUCGUUGAAGUGUUUCGAAUAUGAAGUACUUGGUUGGAUUUCUCGUGAUAUGUUGUUUCGUCCAUACAGCUUUCAGUAUCACAUGUCACCACUGCUGGCCACCCAUGGAAGAAGAACAAUGCAAAAGAAGCACCAAUCGUAUNGACUGCAGGCCGUACAAGAGCUUGGGCUACGAUCGAUGUAUUGAGAUUCGUUUCCGCGGUAACCACACUCUCUCCCGGACCUGUUACCAGUCCCAUAUGUGUGACGGUGCAAGGGAAUGGUGUCGACGCUAUGGGCCAUGUACUGUCCGGUGUUGUGACUACAACAUGUGCAAUCCUGCUUCGACAUUCAAGUAUCUCUCCAUCAGUCAACUACUGGCGCCUUUAGUAGCCCUGUUCUGGAUUUUCCUUUAACUUUACAUUAAAAUGCCGAUUUGAUUAGACCCACCUCCCACCUAAACAUAAUCCUCCUUUCCCUACUCCUUCCAUCCCUUCUCUCACCCAAAAGUCAAUAAGAAGAAAACCCGAUCACAGUGUAAGAACAUAUAACAAUACUGUAUUUUAGUUGUUAUAAAUCUCGCUUUCUGAUUGGUUGGAGCGCGUGCUUUAUGAAACUAAUUGGUUGGAGCGCAUGCUCUAUGAAAGCAAACAGCACACGCGCGCUCCAUGCGCGCACACUUUCACUGGCGUCAUUCUUAUGUGAAAUAACUGUUAUUGUAAUGUGUAUUUUAGAGAAAUAAAAAACUUACUUGUUGUGCUGUGUGGAGUUAUAAAUCACUUGAGGAUUGGCAGAACACGAGAGAAGUGUCGAGAAGCACUCCGCUCUCCUUCGCUAUAACUGCACACAGCACGCGCGCGCGUUUUUGAUUUCUUCGAUAAAAGCGAUUCCAAGGUCGAGAAAAAACUGGGUCGAGUUGACACUGCAGUGCAUCGUGAGACUGUUUCAGGGAACAAAUUAGACGCAUUCUUGGAACUAUAAUAUGACUGCUCAAAUAUUCCCACAAUGAACUGCAAAGCCCACUUGAGCCAGUUUUGUCUUUUUCUUCUUUUUUAAUUUUUCUUUUUGUAAUCUCGAAAUGGAUAAAAGCUGUGACUUUAAAAAAAAAAAAUUUCAAAGGGGUAGUCCCCAACCUCAACAAGAAUUACUUGGAUUGUCUAAGCUCGUUAACAAACAACAUAACAUUUUAUUUCUUCAUAUUUGUAAAUAUAAUAACAGUAACAACAAGGCCUAAAUUUGAGAGUACAGAUAUUUUUGUUUUUUGUUAACUUAAAAGAACAUCAAGUAAAGAAAUAUGAGUAGCAAAUAAUUUAAGAUUAAGGGGGGUGUUUUAAAUCAAUCUUUAUCCAGUCCCGGGAAUCCGAAUAAAGAAAGUCCGGGACUGGACUAGAUUGAUGUGAAAUCGUGACCAACGCACCAAGUGUGAACGGUUUCAAGGGCGGAUCCAGGGUUCUUUUUGAAGGGGGGUCUCAGGGGUAAAUUUUGUGGGCAAAGGAAUCCCAGUCGCAUUUUUACCACAAGAAGCUCAUUUGACCUCAGGAAUGACAGGGGGGUCGCGACCCCCCCGACCCUCCCCCUGGAUCCGCCCUUGGGUUUAAAGCGAAUCCCGAUCGGUCCUAGAUCAAUCUAAACAAGACCACAUCGACAGGUGGUCUCACCUCAAUUUAAAGUAGCUAGUAUGUAAGUGUGAAGGUUAAUCGUGCUAGCUGGUCAGGAUUAAAUAAUUUAAAUACGCACGUGAAUGCUAACUACGCACGUGUGUUUCUUAAGCGCGCGACUCUUAAAUUGCCCUAUUUUAAAAGAGUGUAACUAAUAUACGACGUACGCAAAGGGAUGCACCAUUAGAUAAUCGAGGAGGAAUGGGGUUUGCAAGAAGUUAUGCUGCACGAUAUAUUUUUUUAGAAAAAAAUGGAUGCAUUGUU
rnacentral:lncRNA from 1 species